rnacentral:lncRNA from 1 species
AUUCUGGUAUCUAAAAAUGCUGCUGCUUCUCUUUGAAUCUCUGCUGAGAUUCCCAAGAGCAAGUGCUUUGCUUUGGAGGCCACUAUAUGCCUGUGGUCUGUUGAAGAAUGAAGAGGAAAACACUUGAACGUUAAAGAGAGAAGAAUCUCCCUGAAUUGAACAAAUGUGUCACUUUUGAAUAAGGAUUCAUGAAAAGGCAGAAAAGGAGAAGAAAAAAGAAUAAGGUAUGCAUUCACCAAAAGAUCUGAAAUCUGUAACUUGUGACUGUUUAUCACUCUUUAAGUUCUGAAUGAAACUGCAAGUCAUACGUCAGUGAACUGGAUUCAGAUCAUUAGCUUUACGUUUCUUUUUUCUUUAAAAGUGGCUGUUUGCAGAUAAAAUUCACUAGCAUUUGUUGUAAUUGCAAUCAGGAAAAUCUAGUGGCUUUGACUGUUUGAUGUGUUCCUUAGACCUUACAGGGUGUAAGGCUUUUCAGAGGAAUCCUUUGAAGAUGUUGAUUAAAUUCCAGAAUUAUUGGGAAAUUUGGUGGUCUGUGCUGUCUGUAUAGUUAGAUUAGAUCAGCGCAAUGGUAAAUUGUAGAUGCAAGAAACAAAUUAUUUCAGGUCACUUAUGAAUUUUGAUUUUUUUUUCCUAUUUUAUUUCUGUGUAUUGUUUUCAACACUUCAAAAUGUAUAAGAGAAAAGAAGCAUGAAAAGAAUAUGCUAUUGUAAUGUCUUUUUGUGAGCGUGAUGUUAUACAAAU